rnacentral:lncRNA from 1 species
UAGAUUAAAGUUGUUUUGAAUGAAUCUUUAAGUAGAUUACAAUUACUUAUAUUUUAAAAGUUAAAUUGAUAUCAAAUUAAUAGAUUAUAACAAUAAAUGAAUGGUUUUGUUCCUAACAGACGCAUCAGCAUCAAGGUGACUCCGAGCGAGAUCUUUUCCCUCUGACUCGCGCGUUUUGCCUUCGUGACGCGCGACCAUAGAAACAGAAAAUUGCAUUUUACUUCUCCAAUCGGGUUCAAUCCUCCAUCCAAUAGACAAAAUUAGGUUAGAAUCUUGAAUCUUGAUAUUAGGGAUUAUGCUUUUAGGGUUCUCUCUAAAUUGGGGUUUUAGGGUUUUGUGAUUUUCUUCUCUGGUAAUUUUUGAAUCCAAUUGUAGUCGUUAGUAAUGUUGUUAGAUGUUAUAAUAACUGGUAGAUUUUGAAUGUUUUAUAAUAACUGGUAGAUUUUGAAUUUUGCAUUAUGUGAUUCUGAUUUGAUGAUGCUGUUGUUAGUGGUUGAACUCAAUUCUGCAUUUUUUUACUGAUUUGAUUCUGAUUCUAAUUUCUAAUUAUGAAAAUUACAUUUUUUAAUAGGAAUCCCAUUUUUUCAGGAUAAAAAAUAUUUCAAAGAUUUUCAG